UUCCGCCGCCGCAUCCGCCAACGAGGAGGCCGGGACCGCCGGAUCCGGUGACUUCGGCCUCUUCGCUGGCAGAUCUGGCCACUCUA
rnacentral:miRNA from 17 species